AUUGAACGCUGGCGGCAGGCCUAACACAUGCAAGUCGAGCGGAUGAAGGGAGCUUGCUCCUGGAUUCAGCGGCGGACGGGUGAGUAAUGCCUAGGAAUCUGCCUGGUAGUGGGGGAUAACGUCCGGAAACGGGCGCUAAUACCGCAUACGUCCUGAGGGAGAAAGUGGGGGAUCUUCGGACCUCACGCUAUCAGAUGAGCCUAGGUCGGAUUAGCUAGUUGGUGGGGUAAAGGACUACCAAGGCGACGAUCCGUAACUGGUCUGAGAGGAUGAUCAGUCACACUGGAACUGAGACACGGUCCAGACUCCUACGGGAGGCAGCAGUGGGGAACAUUGGACAAUGGGCGAAAGCCUGAUCCAGCCAUGCCGCGUGUGUGAAGAAGGUCUUCGGAUUGUAAAGCACUUUAAGUCGGGAGGAAGGGCAGUAAGUUAAUACCUUGCUGUUUUGACGUUACCAACAGAAUAAGCACCGGCUAACUUCGUG
rnacentral:rRNA from 1 species